rnacentral:rRNA from 1 species
GACGAACGCUGGCGGCGUGCCUAAUACAUGCAAGUCGAACGCACUCUCGUUUAGAUUGAAGGAGCUUGCUCCUGAUUGAUAAACAUUUGAGUGAGUGGCGGACGGGUGAGUAACACGUGGGUAACCUGCCCUAAAGUGGGGGAUAACAUUUGGAAACAGAUGCUAAUACCGCAUAAAACCUAACACCGCAUGGUGUAGGGUUGAAAGAUGGUUUCGGCUAUCACUUUAGGAUGGACCCGCGGUGCAUUAGUUAGUUGGUGAGGUAAAGGCUCACCAAGACCGUGAUGCAUAGCCGACCUGAGAGGGUAAUCGGCCACACUGGGACUGAGACACGGCCCAGACUCCUACGGGAGGCAGCAGUAGGGAAUCUUCCACAAUGGACGAAAGUCUGAUGGAGCAACGCCGCGUGAGUGAAGAAGGUUUUCGGAUCGUAAAACUCUAGUUGUUGGAGAAGAAUGUAUCUGAUAGUAACUGAUCAGGUAGUGACGGUAUCCAACCAGAAAGCC